rnacentral:tRNA from 1 species
AGAGCCGUAGUCGAGUUGGUUAAGACGCCUCCCUGUCACGGAGGAGAUCGUGGGUUCGAGCCCCAUCGGUUCUG